UGGAGGAAAAGUAGGGGAUCGCAAGACCUUGCGCUUUUGGAGCGGCCGAUGUCUGAUUAGCUAGUUGGUGAGGUAAAGGCUUACCAAGGCGUCGAUCAGUAGCUGGUCUGAGAGGACGACCAGCCACACUGGGACUGAGACACGGCCCAGACUCCUACGGGAGGCAGCAGUGGGGAAUUUUGGACAAUGGGGGAAACCCUGAUCCAGCCAUGCCGCGUGAGUGAAGAAGGCCUUCGGGUUGUAAAGCUCUUUCAGCCGGAACGAAACGGUCACGGCUAAUACCCGUGACAACUGACGGUACCGGAAGAAGAAGCACCGGCUAACUACGUGCCAGCAGCCGCGGUAAUACGUAGGGUGCGAGCGUUAAUCGGAAUUACUGGGCGUAAAGCGUGCGCAGGCGGUUUUGUAAGUCAGAUGUGAAAUCCCCGGGCUUAACCUGGGAACUGCGUUUGAAACUACCAAAGCUAGA
rnacentral:rRNA from 1 species